rnacentral:rRNA from 1 species
AGCGGCGGACGGGUGAGUAACGCGUGGGUAACCUGCCUCAUACAGGGGGAUAACAGUUGGAAACGGCUGCUAAUACCGCAUAAGCGCACAGUACCGCAUGGUACCGUGUGAAAAACUCCGGUGGUAUGAGAUGGACCCGCGUCUGAUUAGCUAGUUGGUGGGGUAACGGCCUACCAAGGCGACGAUCAGUAGCCGACCUGAGAGGGUGACCGGCCACAUUGGACUGAGACACGGCCCAA